rnacentral:tRNA from 1 species
GGAGAGAUGGGUGAGCGGCUGAAACCAGCAGUUUGCUAAACUGCCGUACUCGCAAGGGUACCGAGGGUUCGAAUCCCUCUCCCUCCG